rnacentral:rRNA from 1 species
AUAUUGGACAAUGGGGGUAACCCUGAUCCAGCCGUGCGGCGGGCGUGAAGAAGGUCUGCGGAUUGUAAAGCACUUUAAGUUGGGAGGAAGGGCUUUAGGUUAAUACCCUGAAGUUUUGACGUUACCAUCAGAAGAGGCCCCGGCUAACUCGGGUCCGGCAGCCGCGGUAAUACAGAGGGUGCAAGCGUUAAUCGGAAUUACUGGGCGUAAAGCGCGCGUAGGUGGUUCAGUAAGAUGGGUGUGAAAUCCCCGGGCUUAACCUGGGAACUGCUUUCAUAACUGCUGAGCUAGAGUACGGUAGAGGGUAGUGGAAUUUCCUGUGUAGCGGUGAAAUGCGUAGAUAUAGGGAGGAACACCAGUGGCGAAGGCGACUACCUGGACUGAUACUGACACUGAGGUGCGAAAGCGUGGGGAGCAAAC